rnacentral:misc_RNA from 1 species
UGUCAAAGCUGGCCAUUUCCC